GGAUCUGGAAUUGUUUAUCUCAGCUGUACGCCAAAGACAUCACUACUCCUGAUGAUAAACAAGAGCUUGAUGAGGCUUUACAGCAGGAGGUGGAUGUUCGAAAGGAUCUGAUAAGAAAUUUUGCAAACACGAUUGAUCUUGAUCAGCUAGAUAUUUGAUGGUGCAACUUAUUGUGAAGCUGAAUGUUUUCCUCAGUAACCAUAACACACAGAUAUUUUCAUAUAUGCCAUGGAAUGCAGAGAAGCAAGCAAGGCCCCCAUUUUUGUUGAUGACAUUUGGUUAUGAAAGAACCACUGUUGUGCACAAGGGGAAUGGUCAUUUGUAAUGGAGGAAUUUGAUUUAUACCAAAAUGACUUCUUUUUU